AUCCUAUGGUGAGGGCAUUCUGAUAUGUAAUCUUGAAAGCAUUCCCAUGCCUCAGAGACAGAUUCAUCAUACUAUUGUUGAAAAGUUGAGAUCUUUGCAUAUAGGGC
rnacentral:snoRNA from 1 species